ensembl:rRNA 5S_rRNA 5S ribosomal RNA
GCUUACGGCCAUACCAACCUGGCUAUGCCCGAUCUCGUCUGAUCUCGGAAGCUAAGCAUGUUUGGGCCUGGUUAGUACUUGGAUGGGAGACCGCCUGGGAAUACCAGGUGCUGUAAGCU